rnacentral:misc_RNA from 1 species
AGAAGGGUUAAUUCUGAGCCAAUCACUAGUGAUCUAAAGGAUUGAGCAGAAACAACAAGCUUCCUUGAUCAUAAUUAUCAAACAAUACUUCCUCAGCAUGAAGAUUCCUUCUUUGUAAUUGUUUAAUAAUCACUGACUUCAAAUUACAUACUAUUAAAACCUCAAUAAAUCAGAUGUGUAAAUAUCAAGCAAGCAUUAUAAUUCCUAUCAAUCAAAUGACCAUGUUACUCAUGAA